GUCUGAGUGAUAAGACUGUCAGAGAUUGAGCUCUUCAGAGAAGAGGCUGAAGACCAUCCAUAACAAGCCUGGAAGCCUGAGGAUUCUCUUCGCAUUCCGUUGCUGGCACUGGGAUUAGUGCAUCAACAUCUGUGCUGCUUACUAAAGGAAUCAUUAACAGAUCUUUAAGGAGCACCCUGCGUUUUCACAGACUGAUUGAGAGAUUGAUUGAGAGAGCCAAAGGACAGUGAAAUCUAUCCACAGUAGAACCAGACUGAUUGAGAUCUCUCAAAGGACAGUGAAAUCUAUCCACAGUAGAACCAGGUGGGUCAGUAGAAUGGACAGCGAACAGGGCCAAGAGUGUAAGAAGACAGUG
ensembl:lncRNA